CCACGCCUAGAGUUCAGCACCCCAGAUGCGGACAGCGACACCGCCCAGUUGAGUCCCAUGACUCGCUGCGGAGAUUUUCACCUGACAAAGGAACCGGCCAAUCUCAACGCCGCGUGAUCGACCAAUUUACAAUGCCAGAGGAGGAAUCAACACUCUGGCUUUCUACUCAUCUUGAAGACAGAUCCCUUCAGAACACUUGAUUCUUAGAAGAGCAGAACAUUGGAAUGGUAGUGGAACAGGCUGCCCUUUCCUCCCAUGGGGCUCCCUGACCCCUGAAGAGAGGAAUUUGAUGAAGACAUUCCAUUUCGGGCUGAGUGUUCCAAGGUCUCUCACUGUCUGCAUAAUGUCUGGCUGUAGGUCUCUGUAUUGUUCUUGGUUGAUAGCUGAGCAAGAUAGAGACUACAUCGUGGAAUUAAAUCUUCUAGUACCUCUUAAAAGAGCUUAAGGGAAAGAAAAAAAGAACUGCAAGCCUGGAGGUUGUUUCAGUGGAUCCCAGGACUGAACUCAGAUCACAAGUGGUUGAUUGUACCUGCUGAGUCAUCUCACUGCACCUGCUGAGUCAUCUCACUGUACCUGCUGAGUCAUCUCACUGCACCUGCUGAGUCAUCUCACUGUACUUGCUGAGUCAUCUCACUGCACCUGCUGAGUCAUCUCACUGUACCUGCUGAGUCAUCUCACUGCACCUGCUGAGUCAUCUCACUGUACCUGCUGAGACAUCUCACUGCACCUGCUGAGUCAUCUCACUGUACCUGCUGAGUCAUCUCAUUGCACCUGCUGAGUCAUCUCACUGUACCUGCUGAGUCAUCUUACACUGGUUAGGUUUUGUUGUUGUUGUUGUUGCUGCUGCUGCUGCUGCUGUUUUAAGACAAGAUUUGUGUAUGUAUCCCUGGCUGUCCUGGAAUUCACUCUGUAUGUAGACCAGGCUAGCCUCAAACCACUUGCCUCUGCCUCCCGAUGCUGGGAUUAAAGGUGUGCACCGCUUUUGAUGAAUAAGAUAAGCCUCAGCCCCGCCUAAAGGUUCUAAGAAAAAGAGGUAAGGAAAAGGAUUGUUGAUAAUAAUAACUAUUUAUUGAGCACAUAAUGUGGCCAUAAUUGUGACUAAACCUUUUGAAGACGAUCUGGAUAAAAAUCUUCCCCACAGAUAUAAGGCCUGCACUAAAGAGCUCAUGGCUUUGGGGGUGAGGAGACUAAGGUUGGAAAACUGGGAGCCGUGUCUUGCUAGACCCCCGUCAAGUUACAGAGAAAUGUUGUGUUACUAACAUGCUUAGUCCCUCCAAACCCCAGUCAGUGGCUGCAGUCUUUGUGGAAGCCUUGGAGGGGUUAUUAGUGACUUUUUAAAAGGGAGCUAAACAAGCUACAUGCUUACUCCCUCUCUCAAGGUUCCCCUCUCUUGUCACAAUUAACAUUCUGGGCUAGAAAACUCAUUUCUGGUGGGGGCCUCUCCUGCGCACUGCUGAGCAGUGCCCUUGGUCUUUGCCCACUAAAAGCCACUGCACUCUGGCCUUCAAGUAAAGCCUAACGUUCAUCAAAAUUUAACUUCAAAAGGAUAAUACCUGUUACAGAAAAUGUAGCAGCCUGGGCUGAACUCACCCAGGAGGGUAGCUGUUAAGUAAUCUACAGCCAACAAAAGUUCAUUUGUGGGGGCAGUGUGUGUGUGUGUGUGUGUGUGCACGUGUGCGUGUGCACGCACAUCUCAUUAUAUGGCUUCCUAAUUGUAGUGAGGUGCAAGGGCUAAACAAAUAAAUUAGAUGGCUGGGGAAGGGGUCUCUAGUGAUUAAAACCGAUUUGCUGCAGUUCUUCUCAGAUUGAAAUUGCAAAGUGGGAAGUGACCAUCAGCCCCCUGGCUGUGAAGUGUGAUUCUCGAUUACAUCCUCAUUUGCCUCAGUGAUAAACAUAAAAACCAGGGUGACAGCCAGAUGCUCUUCAGCAGUAGUAGCUAAUGAUCAACAGUGUCCCGGCUUCUCCUACUCUUAUACUUAGAAAUGACCACCAUUGCUUUCACACCACUGUUUCCAUUUAUUAGCAAUAACAGAGGAAAUACCAAUAGCACCAAUUAAAAAUGAAUCCACAUGACGUGUUUUAUCCUUACAGCUGUAAUAACUAGUAACUAACACGAAUUGGAAAGCACUUCAUAAAUUUAAAAAGUGCUGUACAUAUACAUUAUAGUUAUCAUCAUUAAUAAAUUAGCCCGAUUCUCCUAGUUCAAAAGGCACGUAAGGUCAGUUACAUGGGCUUCAGUGGGGCAAAAUGAUCACAACCUACAAUGUAGCAAUGGUUCACAUGUGUUGUCAACAAGUUUUACCCCAUGCAAUCCUGCAGAGCUGAAGUUACACACCCUUCAAAAUAUGGGAGAAUGAAGCUAAAAGACAAGACAGUUUUUUUUUUUUAGAUUUUAUGCCUUUUAAAACAGACUCCUACCUCUUUUAUAUUAACUUUUAAAUAGAUAAUAUAAUUAAUCAAACUUCUAAGUUGUACACAACAAACUUAAAAUGUCUUAUUUAUGGUAACAGUAAAUUUUAUUACUUUCUAUGAGCUGAUAUUCCGGAUAGCAUUUCAAAGCAAUCUGCAAAUUCAAAGAGGUCAGAUUGGUACAAUUUUGUGCUUGCAUACCCUCAGGGACUUUCUUCGGUAUUCAUUCCAGAACUGUUACUAGAAAAAAGCAGCUUUAUCCAUUCCCUUGCCAGCAGGAAUCUUGGCAAGAGACAGCCCUUGGCUGACCAUAAAUAAAAUUCCUUGAAUCACCAGCAUCUUGAUUUAAGAAAGAAAUUUUACUGUGUCUUUCAUACACAAAAGCUGAUUAACAAUGGUUUAAAAAAAAAAACACUAUUUCACUUUUCCACAGGUGUACAAAAGGAAAUAUAAUGGGCUUACAUUCAACAAUAAAGCUUAAAGUUCACUCUAGGUAAUAGUUGCAUUAACAUUCACAUACACAAGCACAGAGUAAGUAUAUCUCAGGAGUCUUAUAAUAGCAUACAGCAUACAUAUGGGAGAUUGAUUCAGGUAACAUCAUAGGUGUUAGUAAGGUUAGCAAUUCAGAGUGUUAUAGAAAAGGAAAACUAAACAAGGCGAAGGUGUAGGCUAGCACACCAAGACAAUCACAGGAUCAGAGGAAUGAAAAAUCUGCUCACUGUAUGUAUGAGAAAACGAUAUUUUUCUUCAGUUUCUGGGUCUUGAUAGAGUGGGUUAGAGAAGGUUGUGUAAUCAAAGUGCACAUCAUUUUUCUUAGAAAAGAGAGAGAGAAAGAUCCUUUUAUUUAGUAAUUAAUACAUGCAAGAGGCAGCCCCAGAGUGACCUGAAAGAGUAAAGCUGUGAUUGGCAGGUGGCCGGUAUAGUAUAAUACAGAUGUUCCAGGCAAUUCUCUUAAAGCACUUCUGUAGCAGCAAUGAUCAUUUUAAAUGGCUGUAGACUGGAUUCUUUUGAGGGGAGUUGGGGGAAUUGUAUUCAUAUUUCUUUAAAGAUUGAUAGCUAUAGACUUUCUCUUUUUUAAUAAAUCUAUCAAACAACAAAC